UACAGGGGGUGCAAACGUUGCUCGGAAUCAUUGGGCGUAAAGGGCGCGCAGGCGGUACGGCACGUCCGUUGUGAAAUCGCUCGGCUCAACUGGGCGGGGUCAGCGGAUACGGCCGCACUCGAGCAAGCUAGGGGGCAAUGGAAUUCCCGGUGUAGUGGUGGAAUGCGUAGAUAUCGGGAGGAACACCAGUGGCGAAGGCGGUUGCCUGGAGCUUUGCUGACGCUGAGGCGCGAAAGCGUGGGGAGCGAGCCGG
rnacentral:rRNA from 1 species